UGAGGCGCGGCGGGAGCUGAGGGGGCGGAAAGGGAGAGAGGGAUCGGGGCCACACCCGCUCCCGCUCUCGGUCUCGCUCUUGCUCUCCCUCUCCCUUCGUCUCCCUCUGUCUCCCGCUCUUGGAGCUGCCAGGAACCUCCCCUCCGGAUGUGGAGGCGUUCUGAAGGCAGCGUCCUCCGUCCGAGUCGGCCCCGGGGCUGUGAGGGUGCGGUGCCCGGAGAUAGCACUCGAGGGGCUGUUUCACACCGGCCAGGAUUAAAACUUUCCUCCUCCGAGAAGAGAAGCAGGAAUGCAAAAACGUUGGGAUAAUUAAAUGGUAAAUGCUAGAUUAAAACACUUGCUGCCUGGUAGCUGUUCCCUCAAAAAACUCAGUGUUGUGAAGUGCAGAAAAUAUGCUUUCUAGCUAUUUUCUAGACUGGGUCUCCUAGAUUGUUACGAGUGUGACCUGAAAACAAAGCUUUUAUUUUUCAUUUAAUGUUCGUUGUGGAUGUCUGUUUAAAUUCUCCACAAAACUGUUGCUUGAUAUCCAAGUUUUAUAUUCCUUUUGGUGUGGUUUUGGUUUCCUUGUGGAAGAAGCAUGUGAACAUAUUACAGUGGUACCAUUGUAAAGGUUGAGAUAAGAGUUACUGAUUUGGAAGUGCUGUAAUGCAAGUGCAUUAAAAGGCUGAUAUACAACCAAAAUAGCUUGGCUUGGAAGAGACCUUCAAAGGUUCUCUAGUUGAACCACCCUGCAGUGAGCAGGGAAAUACUUAAGUAUCCUUUUGGGAUGUUCUUUGAGCUCUUGUUAUGGAAAAUCAUGCUUGAUGCUUUGACUGUAUGAAAAAAUUUUAGUUCUUGAAAAGUUAUAAUUUUUUAGUUUAUCUAUAAUAACUCUAUGACUGCGUUUAAACAAACAGUGAUUUGAAUUAGCUUGACCUGCAAUGAAAAGUGCUUAAUUUAAAUUACCUUACUGGAUAGUCAGCCUUUGUUAAGUGUAUUUGCUGCUACCUUGGAAAAUCUGCCCCAAAAACCUGCUUUUCUAGUCUCUCUGGCCAUAACUUACGGCCUGCCUAAUCUAAAUGCUUGCUGGAACUUAUCUGCUACUCUUGUUCAUCAUAUGCCCUCAUCUGGACUAUGGAAAGCUGGAAAGUGAGAAUAGCACUGUUGUAUUCUGCUUUUGUCUUGUCAGUGUAAUCACUGCAGUAUUUUAAAGUGUGAUGGUGUGUAUGAGUGGAAGCUGCCUCCCUCAAUUCUCACUUGUCAUGUUUAUGAAGGGGGUGGCCUCAGAGAGCCACUUCCCUGGCUGAAGGAGUUACUCUUAGCUGGCAGCAGGAAGGAGUUCAGUUUUAAUCAGUCAUAUCUGAUUGAUGAUAUGCCAUUUCUGGCCUACUUGCUUAUUACAAAAUAUGCUCUUUUAUGUGCCAUACUUGCCAGUUGUAACUUGUCUUCACAGUCCCUGUGCAGGUCGCAUCUGUGUUUACUGAGUUUUUUGGAUCCUUGUGAGCUGAGAGGUAAUUUUGUGGUGUGAGGGCUGUUUGAACUGUUGGUGGAAUUCAUGUGGGUUUUAUGUCUUCAAAUACACUAAAUUUUAAUAAAUUUAAUACUUUUAAUAAAUGUAUUUGCUUGGCAUUAGGAGUACUAUUUAAUAGUAAAUCAACUUCUAUUGAUCAAGUUUUUCCUUAACUGUGUGGGGUGAUGGAAACUUCAAUUUGAAUUCGUAAAGAUCUUCUAAUUAGAUUGAGGAAAUACUUGAUUUUGUUUAAAAAAAUUGUCUGCUCUCUGAGCCUAACUUCUGUACUGUGUCUGGAGAAACUGUUUCUGUCUAAACAAAGUGCUGUUUAAUGGUGAGCUGAUUUAUCACAAUUGUUUUUAUAGUUAAAAAAGUUAACUUGAUUUUAAAAAGUGUAAUCGCCCUUUUGGUGUCUGGAUACUUUUAUUUGGAAGUGUCUUUUAUGCUGGCCCUUACCGUUGUUUGAGCUCAGUGUCAAAGCCCUUCCUCCAUGCUGAAUCGUUGGUGCAUUAAGGGCUGUUCUCUUGUGACACAGUCUUCUUUUAAAUGCAACAUGGCUUUUCAAAAGGGAUGUCUUAGAGCACUCUCUUGCUGAAAAGAUACUGUCAGAGAUUUUGUUGGAUGGAGAAAUUAUCAGCAGUCAUUUUUUUCUUUCUUGCCUUAGCCUCACACAUAUGAGAUGGAGAUGUUGCUUUAGGAGAGGUUUUGGUGUCUGUUUUCAUGUUCAAAACCAGGCCUUUCAACACAUUCCCUGACUCUUCUGAAAUACAGGGGAACAAUCCUAUUUAUGUAGAUUUGGUGCAAAUAAGUUUUAUAAAGACUUGCUAUAGGAUGCUGAGGAGCUAGAAUGCUCCUCAGUUGCAGUUACUUGUUUGACUUUGUUUUAGCUGUAAGAAAGAAUGUUUCUGUUCACUAAUUUAAAUUCUAAUUCAGUACUUGUCUUGGAGAGGUUCAAGAGUGAUGCAGUAGAUGGCAGAGUAGCCCAGCAGUCCUUUUUCUGCAGAGAAGACUGGAGACUCAACUUCAGGAAUAUCUUGGUAAGGUUGCAGACUAUACCUUGGGGUGUGGGGAAACCUGUGUGACUUCUUUGCCAUCAAAGAAAAAUCUGCUUCUUGAGACAGUAGAAAUGCUCUAAGAAAUACGUCCCUCUAGCAACACCUGUACAAUAAACAAGCCAGUAAGCAGGAGCAAAUGGCAUUAAACGUGGUACACAGUAAAGACAAAUCUGCUGAUGACCAUCUGUAGAACAUGUUUGAAUAAACUGAGGUUUUCUUGGAAAUCAGGGUGUAGCCUGUGGAAAAAGUUCAUUCAGCAAAAUCUCAAGUUUUAUCAAGCCUUGUUUUGUGUCUACAUCAAAUAGUAACAUGAAGGCGGCUUCUAAGGGACGGUUAUGUGUUUGUAUUCUUUGUCACUGUAAAACAGUCAACCCCCCAGAUUGCCAGUUGGCACCAAACCAAAUGCUUCAUCUCUCUUAUACUCCAGUUGUAAUUUAAAUGUAAUGUACAAAUAUAUGAUCAAAAAGUGCUGCA